rnacentral:rRNA from 1 species
AUUGAACGCUGGCGGCAUGCCUUACACAUGCAAGUCGAACGGUAACAGGCCGCAAGGUGCUGACGAGUGGCGAACGGGUGAGUAAUGCAGCGGAACGUGCCCAGUCGUGGGGGAUAACUGCUCGAAAGAGCAGCUAAUACCGCAUACGACCUGAGGGUGAAAGCGGGGGACCGUAAGGCCUCGCGCGAUUGGAGCGGCCGAUGUCAGAUUAGCUAGUUGGUGGGGUAAAGGCCUACCAAGGCAACGAUCUGUAGUUGGUCUGAGAGGACGACCAGCCACACUGGGACUGAGACACGGCCCAGACUCCUACGGGAGGCAGCAGUGGGGAAUUUUGGACAAUGGGCGCAAGCCUGAUCCAGCAAUGCCGCGUGCAGGAAGAAGGCCUUCGGGUUGUAAACUGCUUUUGUCAGGGAAGAAAUCUUCUGGGCUAAUACCCCGGGAGGAUGACGGUACCUGAAGAAUAAGCACCGGCUAACUACGUGCCAGCAGCCGCAGUAAGAC